UUUAUUGUCUAGUGGCGAACGGGUGAGUAAUACAUAAGUAACCUACCAAGUACAGGGGGAUAACUAUUGGAAACGAUAGCUAAAACCGCAUAGGUAAGAUUGUCACAUGACAGACUUAUUAAAUAUCCUUAUGGGAUAGGUAAUUGAUGGACUUAUGGCGCAUUAGCUAGUUGGUGAGGUAAAGGCCCACCAAGGCGACGAUGCGUAGCCGACCUGAGAGGGUGACCGGCCACACUGGGACUGAGACACGGCCCAGACUCCUACGGGAGGCAGCAGUAGGGAAUUUUCGGCAAUGGGCGCAAGCCUGACCGAGCAACGCCGCGUGAAGGAAGAAGGUUUUCGGAUUGUAAACUUCUGUUACAAAGGAAGAAUGAUACGUAGAGGAAAUGCUAUGUAAAUGACGGUACUUUGUGAGAAAGCCACGGCUAACUACGUGCCAGCAGCCGCGGUAAUACGUAGGUGGCAAGCGUUAUCCGGAAUUAUUGGGCGUAAAGAGGGAGCAGGCGGUUUAAACAGUCUGCGGUGAAAGCCUGAAGCUUAACUUCAGCGAGCCGUGGAAACUAAUAGACUAGAGUGCAGAAGAGGAUUGCGGA
rnacentral:rRNA from 1 species